UACGAACUGUGCAAACGUUAUUCGGAAUCACUGGGCUUACAGGGUGCGUAGGCGGCCUGACAAGUAGGGUGUGAAAGCCCCCGGCUCAACCGGGGAAUGGCGCCCUAAACUGUCGGGCUGGAGUGAGAUAGGGGUGUGCGGAACUUCCGGUGGAGCGGUGAAAUGUGUUGAUAUCGGAGGGAACGCCGGUGGCGAAAGCGGCACACUGGAUCUCAACUGACGCUGAGGCACGAAAGCCAGGGGAGCGAACGGG
rnacentral:rRNA from 1 species